GACGAACGCUGGCGGCGUGCCUAAUACAUGCAAGUAGAACGCACAGUUUAUACCGUAGCUUGCUACACCAUAGACUGUGAGUUGCGAACGGGUGAGUAACGCGUAGGUAACCUGCCUGGUAGCGGGGGAUAACUAUUGGAAACGAUAGCUAAUACCGCAUAAUAUUAAUUAUUGCAUGAUAAUUAAUUGAAAGGUGCAAUUGCACCACUACCAGAUGGACCUGCGUUGUAUUAGCUAGUAGGUGAGGUAACGGCUCACCUAGGCGACGAUACAUAGCCGACCUGAGAGGGUGAGCGGCCACACUGGGACUGAGACACGGCCCAGACUACUGCGGGAGGGAGCAGGAGGGAAUCUUCGGCAAUGGACGAAAGUCUGACCGAGCAACGCCGCGUGAGUGAAGAAGGUUUUCGGAUCGUAAAGCUCUGUUGUAAGAGAAGAACGGGUGUGGGAGUGGAAAGUUCACACUGUGACGGUAUCUUACCAGAAAGGGACGGCUAACUACGUG
rnacentral:rRNA from 1 species